UACGUAGGGUGCAAGCGUUGUCCGGAUUUAUUGGGUUUAAAGGGUGCGUAGGCGGUCUAUUAAGUCAGUGGUGAAAUCCAACAGCUCAACUGUUGAUGUGCCAAUGAUACUGAUGGACUUGAGUACAGACGAGGUAGGCGGAAUUGACAGUGUAGCGGUGAAAUGCAUAGAUAUUGUCAAGAACACCGAUAGCGAAGGCAGCUUGCUAGCCUGUAACUGACGCUGAGGCACGAAAGUAUGGGGAUCAAACAGGAUUAGAUACCCUGGUAGUCCAUACAGUAAACGAUGAUUACUCGAUGUUGGCGAUACACAGUCAGCGUCUUAGCGAAAGCGAUAAGUAAUCCACCUGGGGAGUACGCCGGCAACGGUGAAACUCAAAG
rnacentral:rRNA from 1 species